rnacentral:rRNA from 1 species
ACGGAAGGCAGCAGCUGAGAAUAUUCCGCAAUGGACGAAAGUCUGACGGAGCGACGCCGCGUGGAUGAUGAAGGCCGGAAGGUUGUAAAAUCCUUUUAUGACUGAGGAAUAAGUGGAGUGAGAGAAACGCUUCAUGGUGACUGUAGGUCAUGAAUAAGCAACGGCUAAUUACGUGCCAGCAGCCGCGGUAACACGUAAGUUGCGAGCGUUGUUCGGAAUUAUUGGGCGUAAAGGGCAUGUAGGCGGUUUUGCAAGCUUGGUGUGAAAGGCAGGAGCUUAACUCCUGGACUGCGUUGAGAACUGCAAGACUUGAGUCACUGAGGGGCAAUCAGAAUUCCUGGUGUAGGGGUGAAAUCUGUAGAUAUCUGGAAGAACACCAAUGGCGAAGGCAGGUUUCUGGCAGAUGAUUGACGCUGAGGUGCGAAGGUGCGGGGAGCAAACAGGAUUAGAUACCCUGGUA